CUUCACCGACCCCAACCACAACGGCCGAUCCGCCGGCCGGCCCUGCCCAUACGUCGCCAGCAGUGCCUGUGCCUC
rnacentral:antisense_RNA from 1 species